UACAGAGGUCCCAAGCGUUGUUCGGAUUCAUUGGGCGUAAAGGGUGCGUAGGCGGCGCGGUAAGUCGGGUGUGAAAUCUCGGGGCUUAACUCCGAAACUGCAUUCGAUACUGUCGUGCUUGAGGACUGGAGAGGAGACUGGAAUUUACGGUGUAGCGGUGAAAUGCGUAGAUAUCGUAAGGAAGACCAGUGGCGAAGGCGGGUCUCUGGACAGUUCCUGACGCUGAGGCACGAAGGCCAGGGGAGCAAACGGG
rnacentral:rRNA from 1 species